UGAUUUUUCUUUUUCUUUUGUUCGUUCGUUCAAUCUUUUUGAUAAGCACCUCCAUCCUAAGAAUGAUGAUAGCAUUCCUUGUUACAGUUAUUCAUAUGUGUAUAUACAUAUUAAUAUUCGUAUGAAAACGUAUUGU
rnacentral:ribozyme from 1 species